AUUUUAGCAUGUGGCAGUGAGGAUUGCAAGUACUGUGAGGAUAUCCUGGAAGUUCAGGUUUUUCUGUGCUCUGCAGCAUGAGUUGUCCAUGCACCUCCUUUUUCUACUUCUUUGCCCUCAGCCCUGAUGUUGUUUGGCACUUCAGAUGGUUUGGCUUCCGGAACAAAGCCAGCUUGUUUCAAACCAUAUUUAGAAGCUGAAGGAGUGGUUGUCAGAGAUCCCCUUAUCUCACGCUGCUAUGGGAUUCUGGAAACAGCUCCAUGGUGAGGUGAUGACCUUCUGGAAAACUUUGGUGCACUUGGAGCAAAUCCCUGGAGUUCAAGGAACUUGGCAAGGACUUUUCAGUCUCCACCCAAGUAAUGCAGGCUGUGGGAAAAGAGAACUUCUGCUUGGCCAGAACAAACCCUCUGCAUCCAAAAGGCAGAAGAUGAAAAGCAGAACUGGACAGUCACAGACAGGAAUAAUGCCUAAGUCUGUGCAUCCUUUGUCUCACCUUGACUAAUGUUCUGUAAAAGGGCAUGUUAUUCCUGAUGGCACUCCACAUCAGUUAAAUGAAGAUCUUGCAGCAGCUUCAGCUGAACUUAACCCUGGAGCACUUUCACAUAGCUAACAUGAAAAAUGCACUGGGUGAUUCAUAUUAUUUUUCUUUUGUAUUACGCUAUUUAUGUUCUUACAUUUCCUGGUACUUAAAAUACAUUGGAAUAACUGCCAGCACAUAAUUACAUGGCACUGUUUGUCAAAAAGUGUAGUUCUGAGUUUGGCAUUUGGGAUUUUGGAAGCUAGGAUACUACCAGAGAAAGUUCGGAUUGCAAAAAUGCUGAAUAAUAAUAAUAAUAAAGUAUAUUCAUCUAUAUAUAAUCUCUGUAGAUUUCAGAAUUCCUCAGUGCUGAGGUUAAGUAGUGCAACAGAUUUCUUUGGUCUGGAUACGCUUUGUGUUUGAGAGUUAUUUUGUUAAAUACAGAUACCGUAUUACCUUUUCAAUGAAAUCUUAGGACCUGAAGCAACUUUGAUAUGGGCAUACAGCAGUGCUGUACAGCUCUGGCACUGCACAUUGGCACUUAAAAGAAGUGUCAACAGAGAUCAUGUGUGGCCACUAUUUGGUAACGCUUGAUCUGCACAUGUGUCUCACUUGCUGCGGCUCUGUGGCUGAUGCUGCUUACAGUCAUUUUAGAUUCUGCUCAAAAAUGUAUUUUUUCAUUGAGUUUACAAAGGAGCCUGGCUGUGUUCAAAUGGGAUUUUGUUUCUAUUGUUUACACUGGUACCUUCCAACCCCCCCCCCCCAAAAUGAAAUAAAAGGAAUUGGAAGGUGACAGUUUCCUCUGUGAAACCCAGCAGGCCUCUGUCUUACACUGUCUCUGCUCUCCUUCCCACAGUUUUCACCAUUAGAGAGGAAACUGGUUGCAAAUGGUGCUGAGCUGACAUUACUGAAGUGAAGCAAUCUGGCUUGCUUUGUUGCAGAGGCCAAUGUUGGCCGCAUGCAUCCCCUAUUCUACAUCUCUGGGAGCAGCUGUUCAUGUAUAGCAGAGCUACGGGGAGCAUGUGUGGUGUGUGCAUACUUCUGAAGUACUAGAAAUCCCCUGACAAUAUUAAAAAAAGAACCAUUCAGACAGGGCCAUGGUGAAGGAACAGAGGGAAUAAGAAACGAGCUGACAGUGAUGGCAUCUGGAAACUCCAUCAGUGAAUGAAAGAUGCGUUCACCAGAAUUAAAGUAGCAGCCAUGGUAUGUGGUUUUAUGAUGCCUGUGCAUAGUAUGACCUGCUUGUGGCAUGAACUCUGUAAUCGCUAUUCCAAUGCUUUAUCUCCGAGCAAAGUAGCUGCAACGAUUAGAUUUCAGAUAGAGUAACCUGGUUUAUAAAUCUACGCAGGGUAUUGAAAUACAUCUUGUGUAUUUCUAAGGAUUCAAAUGUAAUAAUGCAUGUCCUGUGCAAAAGAAAACCAAACAAUCUCCCUUCCAGUACCCUCCUCCCUCUCCUUUCAGACAUUCACGUAUUUCCAAGUUAUGGAUUACUGUUGACCUUUGCUCAAGCUGUGCAAAGAAAACAGCCCUAUGCUUCACUCUGUCCAGUGAAUUACGUAUGUAUAAUUACCCAGUGCUGUGAAUUUUUUCAUGGCAGAUCUCAAACAUUUCCUCUUAAGGGGAAUAAUCUUUUAAAGACUGACAGGUGUGUGGACAGAUUAUGUUAUACUUGCUGUUUAUAUUAUAAAACUCCUGAAAUAAAAUAAUCUG
rnacentral:lncRNA from 7 species